AUACGGAGGGUGCAAGCGUUAUUCGGAAUCACUGGGCGUAAAGGGUGCGUAGGCGGUUUGAUAAGUCUGAUGUGAAAUCCUAUGGCUCAACCAUAGAACUGCAUUGGAAACUGUCAGACUCGAAUACUGAAGGGGCAGAUGGAAUUAGUGGUGUAGGGGUAAAAUCCGUAGAUAUCACUAGGAAUACCGAAAGCGAAAGCGAUCUGCUGGGAAGUUAUUGACGCUGAGGCACGAAAGCGUGGGGAGCAAACGGGAUUAGAAACCCCAGUAGUCC
rnacentral:rRNA from 1 species